rnacentral:rRNA from 1 species
UACGUAGGUGGCAAGCGUUGUCCGGAUUUACUGGGCGUAAAGAGCGCGCAGGCGGUCGCUCAAGUCGCGUGUGAAAGCCCCCGGCUCAACUGGGGAACUGCGCGGGAAACUACCGGGCUUGAGAUCGGGAGAGGGAAGCGGAAUUCCGGGUGUAGCGGUGAAAUGCGUAGAUAUCCGGAGGAACACCAGUGGCGAAGGCGGCUUCCUGGACCGACACUGACGCUGAGGCGCGAAAGCUAGGGGAGCAAACGGG